GGCCACGUGGCCGAGUGGUUAGGCAGAGGCCUGCAAAGCCUUGUACACCGGUUCGAAUCCGGUCGUGGCCUCCA
rnacentral:tRNA from 1 species